GAGGACCAUCUCCUAAGGCUAAAUACUCUCUAGUGACCGAUAGUGAACCAGUACCGUGAGGGAAAGGUGAAAAGCACCCCGGAAGGGGAGUGAAAUAGAACCUGAAACCGUGUGCUUACAAGUAGUCAGAGCCCGUUAAUGGGUGAUGGCGUGCCUUUUGUAGAAUGAACCGGCGAGUUACGAUUUGAUGCAAGGUUAAGCAGUAAAUGUGGAGCCGUAGCGAAAGCGAGUCUGAAUAGGGCGUUUAGUAUUUGGUCGUAGACCCGAAACCAGGUGAUCUACCCUUGGUCAGGUUGAAGUUCAGGUAACACUGAAUGG
rnacentral:rRNA from 1 species